AAGUUGACGAUCUUUUUUUUUAUCCAAAAAGUAGUGUAGCUUCUGUUCAACUUCUCGGGUCUGGAUCUGGGUGUGGAUAUUCGUCGUGUCUGUGUGUGAACAUGAACUUACCUUCCAUCAGAGACACCUUCUUGAACUCAAAGGGAAUGUUGUUCUUUGAGGCGAAUAUGUAGACGGAGCGGCAGGGCUGAGAGAAGAGGUCCAGGUACAGCUCCAUGGCAAUGACUGCUGCAGUACACUGUGUCCUCUACUCUCUGUCUGACACGCUGCUCCCAGGACACUAUGGCAAGUCAUCCUGGACAAAUGCAUCAUUCACGUCAUGUUAAAAAAAACGACGUGCAAUUGUUUUUAUAAAACGGCGUAUAAAGUGGCCUCCUAGCGGAAUAAACCCGGCUUUUUACUUUUUAGGACGAGUGACGAAUUUGGUCCAGGUUGGCUUGCCAUAGGAUACACAGUGUAAAACACGAUUGAAGAAUUGUUGGUUUAACUUUAAUCAUAAUAAAGACAUGAAGAAUGUGCUUUUUCACACUAGUCAAACAUCGCUCCCGAAACCGAACAACAUCCGUUGGUAACCCUUCACAAUAAAAGUCCCAAACAGCUACGCCUAUGAUGACUAAAUAAAAGCUUUUAUAAAUUACUUUUAUAUAGCCAAACGUUACACUAUAAAAGUUAACGGGAUAUAGUUGAUGAUAUAAUAAAUCUUGAAGUGUGUUAGCUAUAUUAUUAGCUAUAUAUUAACUAUGUAUUGCUUGUUGUGUGUCUUUUUCAUGGAAACCGUGAAACCCUGAUAUUUCCUCUGACAAUAAUCGUGGCACCAAAAUUUCAUAUGUGACAUCACUAGUGCAGAGUGAAGUUAAAAAUCCUUUGCGUUCAGCCUAGCUUGAGUAAUUGACUCAGCUGGGGGAAUUUUUUCAUACAUAAACUUGUCUCCUUUCAAAUUUCAAAGGUCUGUUAAGCAAAGGACACAAUCUUCAGACCCAAAUUCACAACUUUUUCCAAUAAAAGCAGAAAAUAAGUAUUGUAGAAAAAAAAAUUAUGUUGUGCUUUUAUUUUGUCGUUUACUUACUAAGGAAGAAGGGAUUGUAUGAAUGUUGCUGCCAUGAGAUUAUCAACAUAGUAUAUCUGUAGCUGUAGUUUAUCCAAAGAGGCAGAAGACGACACAUUCAACUCAGUCCGCAAAAUGAAGAACACACUGCCCAACUUCCAAUGACUGCUACACAGCGCUGACAAUACUUGUGCGAGACCCUAAGCGUCCGAAAGUUGGUCGGACUACCACUUAUAAGCCUUCCAUUUUCAUCGUCUUCUCUGCGAUCCGAGGGCCUCACUAAACCAUAAAAUUGGUAGUAGCGAUGGGCGGUGUGUACAAAGGUCAGGGACUGAAUCAACAACUUCACACUGCUACAACAGGGUGCUCGGAGCACUCAGAGGAGGAAAUAGAAAGCUGGGGACUUUUCUUGCAGAGAGGAGAAAUUGAGUUGAGUAGAGGAGUGAAACCUCUUGCUCCAUGUCUUUACUCUCUGCUUUGUAAAUAAUCCGACAUGGUGGUAUAGAACACUGGGUCGAAGGUGGAAAAACUCACAUCUGAGGUCUUUUGUAUCUCAGUCUUCUCUUUGCUCCUGUUAAAAUGAGGGCUUAUGUAAUGUCGUUAUAUGCAUGUCAUUAAAUUUACUAAUAAUGUCAUUAUGUCUUAGCUCUGUGAAUAAAUUGUACAAGUACAACUAAUACAAUACUAAUACUAAUAUGUAGUCAUGCCGGUCUUAUAUAAUUAUUUAUAAACAAUCUAUCAAGCCAACAUGGCCUUGUUGAUUAUAUUUUUUAUUGUCAACAAGGAUAAUUUAAAGCAAAGCAUGUUACGUAUGUGUAAAGUAACGAAUUACAUUUACUCACAUUACUGUAAUUGAGUAGUUUUUUGUGUGCUUUGUAAUUUGUUGAGUAGUUUUUGAAAUGGGUAAUUUUACUUUUACUUAAGCAGAUUUUGACUGAAGUAUUGUACUUCGCUACCUUGGAAAUUACAUCCGUUACUGAGUAAAAAAAAACGUAGUUCAAGGCG